rnacentral:tRNA from 1 species
GACGGUGUAGCUCAGUGGUAGAGUGUGUGCUUGGCAUGUAUGAGCUCCUGGGUGCAGUCCCCAGUGCCUCCA